UAAUCCAUUUUAAAAGUGUUCAUAAUCACUACGUCUUUUUGUUAUUCAGUUUCAGUUGUAUAUUCAGUUUUUGUUUGUAUCUUAGUCAACGAGAUAUGGACCUUAAAACUAUAUUAUUAUUUUUUUCAUUGAUGCUUAAAGUCAUCCACUGCAAAAAGCUUUGCUAUGCCGUUACGUUCUUUCAUGUCAAAUGCGAGCCCAUAAACACUAAACACUAACUCAAACUCAAACUAGCUAACAUGUUCUGUAACUCGACAAUUUUUUCUGGCGUCAUGGCACUCUUAUAAGUAAUCAUAUUUGCCCUAUGGGAAACUACAAAUAAAACAUCAAUACAGCUGUUGGUUUUGUUUUCAGUUUGGUUUCGUAAAAGAUGUAAGUUUACACGUAAAAAUAAGAUUGUAUUUACCUUCUUAAUAUAAUGGGAAUCAAUUCGACUUGCUAAUCGAUUCGAAACAUUAUAAAAAUCUUAUUAAAAGCAUAAAUUGAUAUUUAGCUUUAUUUAGAAGAAUUUUUAUACCUCCUCAAUAAGACAUGGACCUUAGAACAAUUUUCUUAUUCUUGUCAUUGACGAUUAAUGUCAUAAACUGCAGCUUCAAUUGUUAUUUUUUCAAAUGCAAGCAAAACAAAGGCACUUCCCUAAACACCGCAUUUCCUUAUGGUUUGGGGUUUAUAUAGAGACACAAAUAAUAGAACAGAGAUGUUCUAGUCCAACUACUUUCGAAAAACCCCGAUUUGACAACGGAGAACAAUUCUGUACUCAACUUCUUAAAAGAAUAGAAAAAGGCAUCGAUAAUCCAUUAGAAACGUCUUAAAAAUAUAGUUAAAUGGCCAAGUUCACUUUUAUUUAAAUGCAGUUGAAGUUUUUCUCACUCCUUAAUAAGAUAUGGGCCUCAAAACAAUAGUUUUAUUGUUCUUAUUGAUGUUUAAAGUCAUAGACUGCGGUUUCAAUUGCUAUUCUCCUUUUCAUUUCAAAUGCAUUUCGCGAAAACGCCUCAAAAUACCUAAAAUACCUAAAAGACAAUGAAUCUUAAUACUCUUAAAGUUUGUGUUUUUUUUAGAGAGAUAUAAUAAAGACUAAACUUUAUCCAACCUAGUUUAAAAAUUAGCGAACCUCGCUUACUUACUUUAAUAGAAAGGCAAUUUCAAUAACUUUUAGGUCUGCAUCCCACUAUUUCUCAAUUGAUUUGCGAUGCAUGUCGUCCAAAAGAAUCUUUCGCCGACCCUUGCAAUUUCCGAUCCUCAUAUUUCAGUCCCUUGACUGUACCGAUGAGCCAAAUAAUACAAACCUAUAUUUUGAUGUGAAGAAGAACCUUUUAUGAGCAUAUUUAAAUUAGUCUUGUUUCAAAUCUCAGAAAAUUAACUAUGCAUCUUUCCGUUUUAUUUUUAUCGGCGGCUUUAUUUUUCUCCGUACUAAUACUCUGCAGUGCACUCUGUAGGCACCCAACUGAAGACGAUAUCUUUGGCGACUCUUGCCUGUCAAGAGUAAGUCUUUGUUCUGGACCAUGGAAUCUUAAAGGACUACACUUCAAGUCACCUGACUGUAAGAAGAACCAAAGGUGUUUCAUCAGACUUGUUAAAAAGGAAGUCGAUGAGGAUGCUUCGAAAACUGAUUACGAUUAUGAUUACGAGUAUGACAAUGCAUAGGGGUCAAAUUAGUUCCAUCAUAUGAAUAUUACUUAAGGGAGACUUAAAAAUAAUAUAUAUAAAUAAACUGCGACUUGUUAUAUUCAGUUUUCUUUUAGUUCCUGAAUAAAAAUGUCAUGGCCCUCAAACCAACCAUUUAUUUUAUCUUUUUUAUACGAUUCC